AGUGAACGCUGGCGGUAGGCCUAACACAUGCAAGUCGAACGGCAGCACAGUAAGAGCUUGCUCUUACGGGUGGCGAGUGGCGGACGGGUGAGGAAUACAUCGGAAUCUACUUUUUCGUGGGGGAUAACGUAGGGAAACUUACGCUAAUACCGCAUACGACCUACGGGUGAAAGCAGGGGAUCUUCGGACCUUGCGCGAUUGAAUGAGCCGAUGUCGGAUUAGCUAGUUGGCGGGGUAAAGGCCCACCAAGGCGACGAUCCGUAGCUGGUCUGAGAGGAUGAUAGGCCGCCCGGGAAGUUGGACGCGGUCCAGGCGCCUACGGGAGGCACCAGUGGGGAAUAUUGGGCAAUGGGCGCGAACCUUGUCCAGCCAGACCGCGUGGGUGAAGAAGGCCUUCGGGGUGGAAAGCCCUUUUUUUGGGUAAGAAAAGCAUCAGGUUAAUACCAAGCUGUUCUGGCGGUACCUAAAGAAUAAGCACCGGCUAACUUCGUG
rnacentral:rRNA from 1 species